UUAGAGUUUGAUCCUGGCUCAGGAUGAACGCUAGCGGCAGGCUUAACACAUGCAAGUCGAGGGGCAGCAUGUCCAGCAAUGGAUGAUGGCGACCGGCGGAAGGGUGCGUAACGCGUGAGCAACAUGCCCUAUACAGGGAGAUACACCAGGGAAACUUGGUCUAAUAUCCCAUAGCAUUCAUUGAAGGCAUCUUUAAUGAAUUAAAGCUUCGGUGGUAUAGGAUUGGCUCGCGUGACAUUAGCCAGAUGGUGAGGUAACGGCUCACCAUAGCAAUGAUGUCUAGGGGUUUUGAGAGGAAGGCCCCCCACGCUGGGACUGAGACACGGCCCAGACUCCUACGGGAGGCAGCAGUGAGGAAUAUUGGUCAAUGGGCUAAAGCCUGAACCAGCCAUCCCGCGUGCAGGAUGACGGCCUUAUGGGUUGUAAACUGCUUUUCUACAUAAAGAACGGGUCUUACGUGUAAGGCAUUGACGGUAGUGUAGGAAUAAGCAUCGGCUAACUCCGUGCCAGCAGCCGCGGUAAUACGGAGGAUGCAAGCGUUAUCCGGAUUUAUUGGGUUUAAAGGGUGCGCAGGCGGAAAGAUAAGUCAGUGGUGAAAAACUGCCGCUUAACGGUAGUCUUGCCAUUGAUACUGUUUUUCUUGAGUAUGGAUGAGGUAGGCGGAAUGUGCAGUGUAGCGGUGAAAUGCAUAGAUAUUGCACGGAACUCCGAUUGCGAAGGCAGCUUACUGGACCAUUACUGACGCUCAGGCACGAAAGCGUGGGUAGCAAACAGGAUUAGAUACCCUGGUAGUCCACGCAGUAAACGAUGUUCACUCGCUGUUUGCGAUAUACAGUAAGCGGCUUAGUUAAAGCAUUAAGUGAACCACCUGGGGAGUACGAUCGCAAGGUUGAAACUCAAAGGAAUUGACGGGGGCCCGCACAAGCGGAGGAACAUGUGGUUUAAUUCGAUGAUACGCGAGGAACCUUACCUGGGCUUAAAUGCAGGAUGCAUGCUGUGGAAACACACUUCCCUUCGGGGCUUCCUGCAAGGUGCUGCAUGGUUGUCGUCAGCUCGUGCCGUGAGGUGUCGGGUUAAGUCCCAUAACGAGCGCAACCCUUACCGUUAGUUGCCAUCAGGUCAAGCUGGGGACUCUAUCGGGACUGCCACCGUAAGGUGAGAGGAAGGUGGGGAGGACGUCAAAUCAGCACGGCCCUUAUGUCCAGGGCUACACACGUGUUACAAUGGCCGGUACAGAGGGUAGCUACCCCGCGAGGGGAUGCCAAUCUUAAAAGCCGGUCUCAGUUCGGAUUGGAGUCUGCAACCCGACUCCAUGAAGUUGGAUUCGCUAGUAAUCGCACAUCAGCCACGGUGCGGUGAAUAAGUUCCCGGGCCUUGUACACACCGCCCGUCA
rnacentral:rRNA from 1 species